AUGCCACUUUCCCAAUCUCGUCUCCGUCCAAGCAUGCACUCGCUGCUGCCCGUUAAUGCUUGGUCAACGACCGACCAAACAACUCUUCCCUCUCCACCACGAGAAGUUCGUCACCUCACGCGUGAGCAGUCCAUCUAUCUCCUCCCGUGCAAGCACUCCAUCACCUCACACAGUGUCCAUUCGACAAAGUUUGUCCUUUUGAAGAAGCAAAAAAUGGAGUUUGAAGCGGUGGUGGUGUGGUUGCAGAAGAAGAAGCGAUGGUGCGAACUCGUCCAUCCGGCGCUAGUAUACCAGUAUGACUUGGAGGCGAAGAUUUUGUUGUGUCUCUUACCAUGA
rnacentral:rRNA from 1 species